ACUGGCUUCAUUUUUCCGUUCUGAAAAUCAUAACAGAAAUUAAUAACGUUAAACGUUGGUUAAAAGUUUUGCGACAGGAGACCUUUGGGAAUUCAUAAACUUAGUAUUUUUUUGUUUAAUGAUAUAAUCAAGAUUGUUGCAUGCCGUUCAAAUGUUAUAGAUUAGGAGGCACAUUUGCUUUGUACAUUAAUUAUGUCAAAAAGUGAUUAUAUGCAAAGAAUAAGAGAAAAAAAUUACUUGUUGAAUGCAGUAAUAAUAAAUAACGAAUUU
rnacentral:lncRNA from 1 species